UACGAAGGGGGCUAGCGUUGCUCGGAAUGACUGGGCGUAAAGGGCGCGUAGGCGGAUUGUACAGUCAGGCGUGAAAUUCCCGGGCUCAACCUGGGGGGCUGCGCUUGAGACGUGCGAUCUUGAGUGGGGAAGAGGGUCGUGGAAUUCCCAGUGUAGAGGUGAAAUUCGUAGAUAUUGGGGAAGAACACCGGUGGCGAAGGCGGCGACCUGGUCCUUGACUGACGCUGAGGCGCGAAAGCGUGGGGAGCAAACAGG
rnacentral:rRNA from 1 species